CGCGACUGCGGAAAGGAGUGAUCACGAGUGGAAAGGUGGUCAGUUCAGGUCUUUACACUCUUAAUUGCACUUCUUGCCCUUGGCUUGAUAACAGAACUUCACACCGACAUGCUAAUGCAAUGCGAAAGGCAGCAAGGCCAUGUCACAGUUUAGAGACAAGACGAGGAAGGCUCUGAGGAGAUGUGCAUGGAUCUCCCUGUCUGUAUUGUCUGAUGCACUCCAGUCUACUCCAUGGUGGCGCACAAGUACAGCAACCAGCAGAGACGUGAACCUGUAACAAAGAGCUUUCAGGCUGUGUGACUCAGAGCAUCACAUCACCUUGGAUGAAAGCUGAAACAGUGGGUACACUGGACAUGACGACAAGUGUACUACAUACUGGCACAGACCUAUACAGUCUGGAGACUCGAUCAUUCAGCAGUGCACUGCCUGAACCAUUCCAAGUCAAGUGCCCUGCCCAGGAGUGUAAUAACAGCAUCACCGCCAGGAUCUGAACCCUGCUCCUCCUGAUCAGACUCCAGAGCCCUAACCACUACUCCUCAUUUUCAAUGAUUUACCAGGCUGGAAUACAACACCAAGGUUGUGUAUUAACCACUAGUUAUAAAAAACAUAUUCUCUCACUGAAGUCCAAAGUCCCACCACUGGGUUUAACAUGAUACUGAGGACCAUAGUCAUAAAGCAUUUAUCACGGUGCUAAGUCUCUAUAAAGACAAAAACAAUUAAGUUGUCUCUUGCAGGAUGUUAACAUAAGAGUGCUUUAGGCUCCUUUUGUAUGCUUCCAUAACAUGUGGAAUAUGUUGUUUUCAUUUUCAAAACAAUGUGAUCAUCUUCUCAGAAAUGUUUAAUUUUUUUUUCCAAUAAGAAGACUUCAGCUCUCUAUGUCCUUGGCACAAACACACCAAUGAACGCUGUUACAAAAGAUUGUGGUCACUGCCCUACAUAGGAAAGCUCAAAAACUGUAAAGUACAGCUUUUUUAACAAAGUUCUGUAUAAUAUUGUUUAUUCCAUGUUAAUAAAUAAAACAAAACAGGUCACCUA
ensembl:lincRNA